GAUGAACGCUGGCGGCGUGCUUAACGCAUGCAAGUCGAACGAAGCACUUUAAUCGAUUUCUUCGGAUUGAAAUUUUAGUGACUGAGUGGCGGACGGGUGAGUAACGCGUGGGUAACCUGCCUCACACAGGGGGAUAACAGUUGGAAACGGCUGCUAAUACCGCAUAAGCGCACAGUACCGCAUGGUACAGUGUGAAAAACUCCGGUGGUGUGAGAUGGACCCGCGUCUGAUUAGCUAGUUGGCAGGGCAACGGCCUACCAAGGCGACGAUCAGUAGCCGACCUGAGAGGUGACCGGCCACAUUGGGACUGAGACA
rnacentral:rRNA from 1 species